CAGCCGCCGCGGUAAUGCGUAGGUGGCAAGCGUUGUCCGGAAUUAUUGGGCGUAAAGGGCUCGCAGGCGGUUUCUUAAGUCUGAUGUGAAAGCCCCCGGCUCAACCGGGGAGGGUCAUUGGAAACUGGGAAACUUGAGUGCAGAAGAGGAGAGUGGAAUUCCACGUGUAGCGGUGAAAUGCGUAGAGAUGUGGAGGAACACCAGUGGCGAAGGCGGCUAACUGGUCCAUAACUGACGCUGAGGUGCGAAAGCGUGGGGAGCAAACAGGAUUAGAUAUCCCUGUAGUCCCUGUCUCUUAUAC
rnacentral:rRNA from 1 species